GUGAGAAAGGCCUCUGAGAACUGGAACUCACGUUGGGCCUCAACUACAGAGGGAAGAAGAGGAGGGACACCAGAAGUAGCAUGAACAGUAUGUAUAAAGGUCUAAGAACAGGAAGUAAGCCUGUUCUGCCCAAAAUAGAGAGCCAGGAAAUGGUAUGGGCACACGGUGCUCCCAGGGGGCUGUAACUGACUGUGUAGCCUGCCUUUCCUCCUGUGGGAAGCUCUCUUGAGAGCACUUCAGGAUGCAAGACAUCGGGCAACCAAGCAGCUGUGCUUCACAGUUGGACCACACCAAGCUUCUGCCUAUGCAGCCAAUACUAUCAGGGCAGCCCCACCAUCCACCAAGCGCCCUCAGUGAUCUACUGGUGCCACAUCAGGCCCCACCUCUCCACAUCUCCACACUGGAGCCCAAGCUUCCAAUGCCUUGGAAGACUCACUAAAACAAUAUCCAAACCAUGGCAUAUCUCUAGAAAAAUCUCUUCUUGUGGGCUGUGCCAUCAAUUGACUACCUAAGAGAAGUAGGACUUGCUUUCUGUUUCACCUAAAAGCCCCAUUCUUCACUCCACUGGAGACCCUUUUUCUGGAAUUCACGUGUCCUCCCUGGUCAGUAGCAAAGAUCAAACGCCGAAUCAUCAGCCAGUCCUUCUAUUAAUUGAUGUUAUAAUCAGGAAAAGCAUUACAGGGAGGGGACAGCAAAUUUCCCGUGAAAAGGAGAUGGCUGGGUUGCUGACACAGGCUACAUCAUUGCAGAACCCUGAGAGCAGGGAAGAUGCAGACAGGUUCAUGAAUUUGAACAAUUGGUUGCCAGUUGGUGGCGCUGUUUGGAGAGGCUGUAAAGCCUUUAGGAGAUGGAGCCUUGAAGGAGGAAGUCAGUCACUGAAGCAGGCUCCGGGAGUUCCUAUCCUUGGCCCACUUCAGUUCCGUUUCUUCUUUCUGUUAGCUGUUCUUCAAUGUGUGAUAGAUAUCCAAGAUGUGCAAGCUAAGCUUCAUGUUCCAGCCACCAACUGCCAUGCCUCUGCUGCCAUUACAGACUCCUACCCCUGGAACUGUAGCCAAAAUAAACACCUCCAUAAUUUGCUCCUGGCCACAGUAUUUUAUUACAGCAACAGAAAAGCAAUUAAGACAGUAAAUAAAAAUAAAAAAGUAUAAAUAAAAAAAAACUGGAUCUAAAAGUGGAGUUAUUAUAACCACACCUAACAUUGCAGUUUUUAAGCCUUUGGAAUUAGUUUUCCAAAAACUCUU
rnacentral:lncRNA from 1 species